UACGGGGGGGGCAAGCGUUGUUCGGAAUUACUGGGCGUAAAGGGCGCGUAGGCGGUUCGAUAAGUCAGCUGUGAAAACCAUGGGCUUAACUCAUGGCCUGCAGUUGAGACUGUCGGGCUGGAGUGUGGGAGAGGAGAGUGGAAUUCCUGGUGUAGCGGUGAAAUGCGUAGAUAUCUGGAGGAACACCGGUGGCGAAAGCGACUCACUGGCCCGACACUGACACUGAGGUGCGAAAGCGUGGGGAGCAAACAGG
rnacentral:rRNA from 1 species